rnacentral:lncRNA from 1 species
UUUGUUUUCUUCCACAUCUUUCACCUAUAAAACCCCAACUCACUUAACACAAAAAAUCCAUCACACAAACCAUUGAAGCUAAUACCACAACACAUUCCCAAACCUUACGAACUUCUCGUGAAAAAUAGAUCUCGAUCGAUCGAUCGAUCAAGAAAAUGGCUUCUUCAACAACCCUUUUUCUUGUUUUCAACAUUCUCUUCUUCGCCGUGGUGGUGAGUUCAUGCCCUCCACCAC